rnacentral:rRNA from 1 species
ACGCAUAGGAAUCUGCCCGGUAGUGGGGGAUAACCUGGGGAAACUCAGGCUAAUACCGCAUACGUCCUACGGGAGAAAGCAGGGGACCUUCGGGCCUUGCGCUAUCGGAUGAGCCUAUGCCGGAUUAGCUGGUUGGUGAGGUAACGGCUCACCAAGGCGACGAUCCGUAGCUGGUCUGAGAGGAUGAUCAGCCACAUCGGGACUGAGACACGGCCCGAACUCCUACGGGAGGCAGCAGUGGGGAAUAUUGGACAAUGGGCGCAAGCCUGAUCCAGCCAUGCCGCGUGUGUGAAGAAGGCCCUCGGGUUGUAAAGCACUUUCAGUGGGGAAGAAGGCCUUUCGGUUAAUACCCGGGAGGAGCGACAUCACCCACAGAAGAAGCACCGGCUAACUCCGUGCCAGCAGCCGCGGUAAUACGGAGGGUGCGAGCGUUAAUCGGAAUUACUGGGCGUAAAGCGCGCGUAGGCGGCGUGAUAAGCCGGUUGUGAAAGCCCCGGGCUCAACCUGGGAACGGCAUCCGGAACUGUCAGGCUAGAGUGCAGGAGAGGAAGGUAGAAUUCCCGGUGUAGCGGUGAAAUGCGUAGAGAUCGGGAGGAAUACCAGUGGCGAAGGCGGCCUUCUGGACUGACACUGACGCUGAGGUGCGAAAGCGUGGGUAGCAAACAGGAUUAGAUACCCUGGUAGUCCACGCCGUAAACGAUGUCGACUAGCCGUUGGGGUCCUCGAGACCUUUGUGGCGCAGUUAACGCGAUAAGUCGACCGCCUGGGGAGUACGGCCGCAAGGUUAAAACUCAAAUGAAUUGACGGGGGCCCGCACAAGCGGUGGAGCAUGUGGUUUAAUUCGAUGCAACGCGAAGAACCUUACCUACCCUUGACAUCGUGCGAACUUGGUAGAGAUACCUUGGUGCCUUCGGGAGCGCACAGACAGGUGCUGCAUGGCCGUCGUCAGCUCGUGUUGUGAAAUGUUGGGUUAAGUCCCGUAACGAGCGCAACCCUUGUCCCUAUUUGCCAGCGAUUCGGUCGGGAACUCUAGGGAGACUGCCGGUGACAAACCGGAGGAAGGUGGGGACGACGUCAGGUCAUCAUGGCCCUUACGGGUAGGGCUACACACGUGCUACAAUGGCCGGUACAAAGGGAGGCGAAGCCGCGAGGUGGAGCGAAUCCCGAAAAGCCGGUCUCAGUCCGGAUCGGAGUCUGCAACUCGACUCCGUGAAGUCGGAAUCGCUAGUAAUCGUGAAUCAGAAUGUCACGGUGAAUACGUUCCCGGGCCUUGUACA